UGGGGAAUUUUCCCCAAUGGGCGCAAGCCUGAGGGAGCAACGCCGCGUGCAGGACGACGGCCUUCGGGUUGUAAACUGCUUUUGCGUGGGACGAUAACGACGGUACCACGCGAAUCAGCCCCGGCUAACUCUGUGCCAGCAGCCGCGGUAAUACAGAGGGGGCAAGCGUUGUCCGGACUUACUGGGCGUAAAGCGCACGCAGGUGGUAACGCAAGUGGGGUGUGAAAGCCGCCAGCUCAACUGGCGGAGGCCAUCCCAAACUGCGUCACUUGAGGCCUGUAGAGGUAUGUGGAAUUGCCGGUGUAGUGGUGAAAUGCGUAGAGAUCGGCAGGAACACCCAGGGGGAAGCCAGCAUACUGGACAGGUCCUGACACUCAGGUGCGACAGCGUGGGGAGCGAACCGGAUUAGAUACCCGUGUAGUCC
rnacentral:rRNA from 1 species